GGCACGGCACCGCCGAACCGCCGACGUCCCCUCCCGGGGCCGAGGCGGACCGGGGACCCACCGAACCUCUGGGGUGAGUCCUGCCUGCGUCGGGGAAACGCAGGCAGGUAGGGCGCCGUCCGGCCCGAACCCGUCAGCUAACUCGGUAGGCGGUUGCGAGGAUGGGA
rnacentral:sRNA from 2 species